rnacentral:rRNA from 1 species
UACGUAGGGUGCAAGCGUUGUCCGGAAUUAUUGGGCGUAAAGAGCUCGUAGGCGGUCCGUCGCGUCUGCCGUGAAAACCCGGGGCUCAACCCCGGGCCUGCGGUGGAUACGGGCGGACUAGAGUCCGGUAGGGGAGACUGGAAUUCCUGGUGUAGCGGUGAAAUGCGCAGAGAUCAGGAGGAACACCGAUGGCGAAGGCAGGUCUCUGGGCCGGUACUGACGCUGAGGAGCGAAAGCGUGGGGAGCGAACAGG